rnacentral:lncRNA from 1 species
UGGGAGCCCCGAGGCUGCGAUCACGGCCUCCUCACCUGGCGGAAGUACAGCUGCUGCCCUCACCUGGACGGAAGUGUGGCGGCCUCCUCACCUGGGCGUCUCUCCACCUCGCCAGAGGCUGGGCGGGGCGAGCGGGGCUCUAGCCCCUGGGCGUCUGCGCGCCUGUAAAAGUUCCGGGGGUGCUUGUUUGCUCGUGGCUUUUGGGGAUCAAGCUCAGGUCCUUGUGCUUUUGAGAUGAACACUUAGCAGAAGCCAGCUCCCCAGUCCUGAACAGACACUAAAUGAGAUUAAGAUGGUCCCUGAUCAAGGAUGACAAGCGAACAUAUUAAAAAAAAAAAAUCUCGCCUUUGUGACUGACUGCGUCUAGUUAUCUCAGGGAGCACCCUUAGAAAACCUAAGCUGCCCUACAAGAGUCAGGCUCCUUUAAGGCCCUUCCUUAUCUCGGAGGCGGAACCGGAAGCGCGAGGACGCGGUGCCCAACAUGGCGGCCGCCUGGCCCGCGGGUCGGGCUUCUCCAGCGGCGGGGCCUCCGGCCCUCCUCCGCACUCUGUGGCUCGUGACGGUCGCCGCGGGACAUUGUGGGGCUGCUGCCUCUGGCGCUGUCGGAGGCGAGGAGACGCCCAAGUGUGAGGACCUCAGAGUGGGACAAUAUAUUUGUAAAGAACCAAAAAUAAAUGAUGCUACGCAAGAACCAGUUAAUUGUACAAACUACACAGCUCAUGGCUUGUUAAAGUUUUGCACUGUGGGAUUUUGCGGAAUUGGGAGCCUAAUUGAUUUCGUCCUUAUUUCAAUGCAGAUCGUCGGCCCUUCGGAUGGGAGUAGUUACAUUAUAGACUAUUAUGGAACCAGACUCACGAGACUCAGCGUUACUAAUGAGACAUUUAGAAAAACACAGUUGUAUCCAUGAGUGUUUGAAAGAGGAACAGAUUUGAGCCUCCCUGAUUUCAAUCAAGAGCCCUGUGUGUGGAAUUCCAGAUUUCCUUUUCCUUUAGUAUCACUU